GCCGUGUCAGCAUAAUUAUUGGCGCUUGAGCAUUUAUCAUUAAAGUCCUAAGGUAAUAAAUUUCAGGGUAGUAUUUUGUCAAAAAUUAAAUCAUAGGCCUUUAAGUGUUAAAACACAAAGCUUUAAGGUUUUUUUCUAUGCUUUCCCCCAUUAUCUAAACUAAGGUCCAAAAGGCCUAAAAAAAAGAUACAAUAGUGUACCGGCCAACUAAAGCAUAAUUUGUUGUACACCUCUAAAUGAAGCAAAAAAAUUUAUUCUAACUUUGCCCUGCCCUGCGCCAUCCAAAAGAUAAAUAAAUGAAUAAAGGUGAAAACUAAUGCUCUCCUAUUUCCUUGGCUUGCAUUUGCUGGUAAAGUUGCAUCUAUUUUAGAGGGUUACACUAAAACGGGCAAAAUUGACUAGCAGACUGCAACGUUGUAUUCACACGAAUUCAUAAUGAUAGGCCACCUGCCCAAGUCAUGCAAUUUAGAAAACUAUCCAACAAAGAAGCAAAACCAUAUCAAUAGUUUGCCAACAUUUUCCAUCUAUGUUCCCAAUUAGAAAGGUAUAUUUGGAAUAUGUAACUUAGUAAGGAUGAG
rnacentral:misc_RNA from 1 species